AUAUCAAUAAGCGGAGGAAAAGAAACCAACAGGGAUUGCCUCAGUAACGGCGAGUGAAGCGGCAACAGCUCAGAUUUGAAAUCCGGCCUAGGCCCGAGUUGUAAUCUGUAGAGGAUGCUUCUGGCGAGGUGCCCGCUGAGUCCCCUGGAACGGGGCGCCACGGAGGGUGAGAGCCCCGUACGGCGGGACGCCGAGCCUGUGCGAAGCUCCUUCGACGAGUCGAGUAGUUUGGGAAUGCUGCUCAAAAUGGGAGGUAAAUUCCUCCUAAAGCUAAAUACCGGCCAGAGACCGAUAGCGCACAAGUAGAGUGAUCGAAAGAUGAAAAGCACUUUGGAAAGAGGGUUAAACAGCACGUGAAAUUGUUGAAAGGGAAGCGCCCGUGACCAGACUCGGGCCUGACGGUACCGCUGGCGUUCUCGCCAGCGCACUCCGCCAGGCCCGGGCCAGCAUCGGUGCCCGCUGGGGGAUAAAGGCCCUGGGAACGUAGCUCCCCUCGGGGAGUGUUACAGCCCAGGGCGUAAUGCCCCGGGGGGCACCGAGGUUCGCGCUUCCGCAAGGAUGCUGGCGUAAUGGUCACAGGCGACCCGUCUUGAAACACGGACCAAGGAGUCGUCCAUUGGAGCGAGCGUUCGGGUGGGAAACCCGUACGCGUAAUGAAAGUGAACGUAGGUGAGAGCUUCGGCGCAUCAUCGACCGAUCCUGAUGUUCUCGGAGGGAUUUGAGUAGGAGUUCCAACGGACGGACCCGAAAGAUGGUGAACUAUGCCUGUAUAGGGUGAAGCCAGAGGAAACUCUGGUGGAGGCUCGCAGCGGUUCUGACGUGCAAAUCGAUCGUCAAAUAUGGGCAUGGGGGCGAAAGACUAAUCGAACCAUCUAGUAGCUGGUUACCGCCGAAGUUUCCCUCAGGAUAGCAGUGUUGUCUUCAGUUUUAUGAGGUAAAGCGAAUGAUUAGGGACUCGGGGGCACCUAUUAGCCUUCAUCCAUUCUCAAACUUUAAAUAUGUAAGAAGCUCUUGUUACUUAGCUGAACGCGGGCGUUGGAAUGUAGCAACACUAGU
rnacentral:rRNA from 1 species